AGUAAAUAAUAGAGUAAAAGAAAUAUUAAUCUGAACUAUAUUAUUAUAAGUUAAUUUGAUAACUAUCAUUCUCAGGGCAACCACAAAGAAAAUAACUCAAAAAUAUAUAGUAAAAGAAAUGACAUAGGAAUUAAAUUGACGCACUAGAAAACAUCUAUUUAAAACAAAAGAAAAGAGUAAUGGAGGAAUUGAAAGGGAAAAAAAGGUAUGACGUAUAGAAAAUAUACAGCAAAAAGGCAGAAGUAAUUCUUUCUUAUCAGUAAUUAGACUAAAUGUAAAUCUAUGAAACUGUCUAUUUAAAAGUCAGAGAUUGGCAGAAUGGAUUUCAAAACAAUAUCCAACUAUAUGCUAUCUACAACUGUCUCACUUUACAUUCAAAGACACAAAGAGUUUAAAGUAAAAGGAUGGAAAAAGGAAUUCCAUGCAAACAGUAACCAAAUGAGAGCCGGAGUGACUAUGCUAAUAUCAGACAAAAUAGACUUUAAGACAAAAAUUGUUAUAAAAGACAAAGAAGGACAUUGCAUAAUGAAAAGAGUCAACACUUCAAGAAAACAUCACAAGUAUAAAUAUACAUGCACUUAACAUCAGAGUCCCAAAAUAUAUGAAGCAUAGCUGACACCAUUGAAAGAAAGGACAAUUCAGCAACACUAGUUGGAAACUUUAAUAUCCCAUUUCCAUUAAUAUAUAGAAAAUCAACAAGAAAAUAGCAAACUGAACAACAUUAUACAGCAAGACCUAACACACAUCUACAGAUCACUUCAGACAAUAAUAGCAGAAUACACAUUCUUAUAAAGUGUGCAUGAAACAUUCUCCAAGAUAAACCACACAUUAGGUCACAAAAUAGUUUUGAUAAAUUUAAAAUGAUUGAAAUAAUUCACAGUACGUUUUCUAAUCACAAGGGGAGGAAAUUAGAAAUCAACAACAGAAUAAAAUUUGGAAAAUUAACAAAUGCUAAAUAACCAAUGGGAUGAAGAAGAAAUCAGAAGGGAAAUUAGGAAAUAUUCUGAGAUGAAUGAAAAUAACAAUAUACCAAAACUUAUGGAACACAGAAAAAGCAAUGCUCAACUAGAAAUUAAUAGCUGUUAAAGCCUACAUUAAAACAAUUUCAAGCAAUAACCUAAACUUUCACCUUAAGAAACUAGAAAAAGAACAACUAAGCCCAAGCAAGCAGAUGGAAGGAAAUAAUAGAGACUAGAGCAUAAAUAAACAGAAUAAGAACAGAAAAUCAAUAGAACCAACAAAACCAAAAGUAGUUCUUUGAAAAAGAAGGGAUCCCCAAAAUGAUAGGAGUAAUUCUUUCUCAUUCCUGACUUUAGUAAUUUGAGUCUUCUCUCUUUUUUUUUUCUUUUCUAGUCUGGUAAAUGGUUUGUCAAUUUUGUUUUCACAUUGAGAUAUAGAUCUUUGGCAUUUUAGGAAAUCAUUACAUUCCUCCCAAAUAAAACCUGACCUAUGAGGUCUGGUGAAGCUGAUUAGAACAAUGCUCUCAAACAAUCUAUGGUGAAGGAUUAAUUAAAAAAUGUUUUUUUCCUAAUAUGUUGUGGAUCAGUACUUCUGUAAAAUACAAUAAAAACAAAUUACUGGAAAAAUGAAAUAAAAAGCAUUGAAAUACUACCUAAUUUUUUAUUAUUCUAUUCCACAGACAUAGAAUUACUCUUUGAAAUUUCUAUAAAAGUUCUUAAACACUUACUCUCAAUUUCUUAUCUCAUUGUGGACCAGAACACAACACAGUCCACAGGCCAGCACUUUGGGAUGCACUGGUCUAGUAGCAUUCUCAUUUUUCCCCACAGAUCCAUACCUUUUGAGUGAUCCAGUCAGAGAAUAGAUAGCAUCACCUUUCACACUAAUGCUGAACACCAGCUUUAAGAGAACUAUCCUAUUCUCCCUUAUCUGGAGCAAGCGAGGAGUUGAAGGUUUUAAUUCCAAAGCUGAAUAUAGAGUAGUAGUAAGUAGAAAAAAGAACUGCAUUAAAAAUAAACAGAGUUGGUGGCAGUCAGUCUAAUGAAAAUAAGGUUUCAGUUGUUUUACUCUGAGCAUAUAAUUAAAAAUUUACUGCCAAUAAUAUUUUCUAAUCAUGUCACACUACAGUUGAUUUAAAGUCUUUUCUAUAAAUCCAAUGCCUGGACUUCCUCAAGGAUGGUUUCUGUCAAUUUCUUUCUUUCCUGUGAAUUGGCCAUACUUUCUUGUUUCUUUGUAUGCCUUGUAAUUUUUUGUUGAAAAGUGAACAUCUGAAUAUUGUAAUGUGGUAACUCUGUAAAUCAGAUUCUCCCCCCAUCAAAGGUUUGCUCUUGUUGAUUGUUAAGGGAUGGAGUUAUCCAUUUGUUUAGUACUUUUCCAAACAAUUAUUGCAAAGACUGUGUUCCUAGUCAUGUGUGGUCACAGAAGUCUCUGUUCUGUUAUCUCAGUGGUCAGCCAGUAACUUGACAGCUGACAGAGAUUUCCUUAAUGCCUGGAGUCAAGAGAAAACAAAAACAAAGACAAACUGAUCUUCCUCAACACACACACACACACACACACACACACACACACACACACACACACACACCCCUCCCCCUAUCUUUGCAGAUUGGUUCUGAGCUGGAGCACUCCUUCAACACUAAGCCAGGCUGCAUAUAACUCUGCCUUUUGCUUUACUUCUUACUUGCAUGAAGCCCACAGAUUAGCCAGAGGUGCAAGCCUGUGGCCCUCUCAGUUGUUUUCUGAACAUAGAGCAUACAUCUGGCCCUGGCCCUUUGUGCCAGUCCCUCACAGAACUGCCAGUUAGGUCAAAAUUCACAAGCAUGGUUUUUUGAGAACCAAGUCUGUAUUGCCUCCUUGGCAUCAGCAAUUCUCACUGGUAACGUGAGCCUCUGUCCAGACAGCCACCACUAAGCUGGAGAAUGAAGGAUGGUAGGCAGGUGAGCAAAAAUGCUACAAAGCUUUCUUAUUGAAAUUUAUAGUCUUUUUCUUCAUUAAGCACUCACUUGGUUGCUGUAAGCUUUUUUAGAUUUCAGAGUUCUAAAAUAGUUGAUUCUAUCAGUUUUUACCAGCUUAAUGAUUGGUUCAGUUGAGGCACUAAUUACUUGAGCUUUCAACUUCUUCAUUUUCCAUGACAUCUUAGUGCAAUUUAAUGGAAGAAUAGAUUUUUCAAUAAAUGGUGCUGAGAAACUGGUUGUCCACAUGCAAAAGAACAAAGGUGGAUCCUUAUCUCACAUCACGUACAGCUCGGAAUUGAAAGAAAACCUAAUGUAAUAACUAAAGCUAUGAAAUCUGGGAAGAAAAUAUGGGAGUAAAUCUUUGUGACCCUGGAUUUGGCAAUGUAUUCUUACCAUGACAUGAAAAGCACAAGCAACAACAACAAAAAAUAGAUGAAUGUGGCUUCAUAAAAAUGGAACACUUUUGUGUUUCAAUGGAUACUAUCACAAAAGAAAAGAUAACCCACAGAAUGGGAGAAGAUAUUUACAAAUCAUAUAUCUGAUGAGGGAUUUGUCUGUAGAAUAUGUAAGGAAUUCUUACAACUUAGUAAUUAAAAAGACAAAUAAUACAAUUAUAAAACAGAUCAGGAACCUGAACAGACAGUUCUCCAAAGAAAAUAUACAAAUGGCCUACAAGCACAUAAAAGAUGCUCAACAUUAUUAGUCAUUAGGGAAAUGCAAAUCAAAACCAGAAUGAGAUACCAUGCCAUACCAACUAAAAUGAUUAUAAUCAAACUAGGAAUAGCAACUGCUAGCAAGAAUGUGGAGAAAUUGGAACCCUCAUACAUUGCUGGUGCAGUGCAAAAUGGUAGAGCCACUUUGGAAAAUGAUCUGGCAGUUCCUCAAAAAGUUAAACAUACACCUAUCAUUAGACUCAUCAAUUCUACUCCUAGGUAUAUACUCAAGAGAACUGAAAACAUAUGUCCACAAAAAAAUUUGUGUACAAGUGUCUUUAGUGGCCUUAUUCAUGGUAGCCAAAAGGUGAAAAUAAUCUAAAUUUCCAUCAGCGAUGAGUGGAUAAACAAAAUAUGGUAUUCUACACAACAGAAUAUUUUUGACUAUAAACAAGAAUAAUAUAUUGAUAUAUAACAUAGACGAAUCUUUAAAACAUUACACUAAGUGAAGUAAGCCAGCCACAAAAAUACUACAUAUUAUAUUGUCCCACUUAUACAAAAUGUCUAGAAUAGGCAAAUGUGUAGAGAUGGAAAGUAGAUCAGUGGUUGCCAAGCCUGAAUAAGAUGAAGAGUUUUAGAGAUAAUAACUAAAGUGUACAGGUCUUUCCUCAUUUUCUGGUGAGGAAAGUAUUCAAAAAUUAAUUGUGGUUAUGGCUUCACAAUUCUGUGACUAUACUAAAAGUCAUUAAAUUCUGUACUUUAAGUGCGUAGAUUAUAUGCCAAAUGAAUGAUAUUUCAAUAAAGUUAGUAAAAAAAUAGAUUAUAAACCCUUGAAUAAAUUAGGGAACCAUGAGUCCAUACUGAUGUACGUGAAAGAAUGGAUAAAUUGACACUUUGAUGCGCAAUAGGGCACUUUUAAAUUUCAAAGUACCUCCAUAGAAUCAAUCUAGAAAACUCAUCCUCAAGAUUCUCUUCUGCCUAAACCAUUCCCAGUACCAAAAUCUUUAUGAGUCAGAUAAGUCAGGGUUCUACAGAGAGACAGAACCAAAAGGAUUAUAAAUAGAUGAAAAAUAUAAAUUUUACAUACAAUUAAUUAAUUAUUAAUAUGUUCUACAAAGAUACUAAGAUUUAUUUCAAGGGAUUGGCUCAUGUGAUUGAGGGGCUGGCAAGUCCAAAAUACAUAGGACAGCCCAGCUGGCUGGAAAAUCAGGUAGGAGAUGAUGCUGCUGUCUUGAGGCAGAUGUUUUUCUUCUUCAGCUGUUGCUCUUAAGGCCUUUCUACUGAUUGAAUGGGUCCCACCUUCGUUAUCUAGGGUAAUCUCC
rnacentral:lncRNA from 1 species